UUGGCAUGUAAACUUGAUUUAUGGUGACUAUAUCAGUAUGAUACAUAACUGAUAUCAUGUGUCUUGAUAUAGUGGAGAUGUGGAUGACAUCUUCCAAGGAUCAUUGAAGUUGAUUUGGUUCAAUCAAAUCGGUCAAGGGGAUGACACACCCGACUUAGCUAAAUUAACAUGGCGGAUCCCCACGUGACCAUCAACAUGCUCUUGGCUGAUUGACUUCUUCCGGACCCA
rnacentral:lncRNA from 1 species